rnacentral:snRNA from 1 species
GGAUAUGAGGGCGAUCUCGCUGCGAUAUGUGUCACCCCAUUGUUCACCAGGGUUGAUUCUGCUGAUCUGGCUGGCUAGGUGGGUGUCCCCUUCCUCCCUCACCUCUCCAUGUGCGUCCCUCCAGAAGCUGUGCCCUCGGUGGAAGAGGACGGCCUUCUCCGAAUAGAGAGGGACCGGUCUUCAGUAGAGGGAAUACGAGUAGCUGUGCUCCCCUGCUAGAACCUCCAAAUAAGCUCUCAAGUAUCCCGGUUCGGAGUCAGGCGGUAGCACAGUGGGUUAAGCUCA